AACGAACGUUGGCGGCGUGGAUUAGGCAUGCAAGUCGGGGGAAUCCCAGCAAUGGGGGAACCGGCGUAAGGGGCAGUAAGGCGUGGGUACCUACCCCGGGGUUCGGGAUAGCUGUCCGAGAGGGCAGGUAAUACCGGAUGACCUGGUGACAGCAAAGAUUUAUCGCCCUGGGAGGGGCCCACGUGAUAUUAGGUAGUUGGCGGGGUAACGGCCCACCAAGCCUUAGAUGUCUAGCGGGUGUGAGAGCACGACCCGCGCCACUGGCACUGAGACACUGGCCAGACACCUACGGGUGGCUGCAGUCGAGGAUCUUCGGCAAUGGGCGCAAGCCUGACCGAGCGACGCCGCGUGGGCGAUGAAGGCCUUCGGGUUGUAAAGCCCUGUCGGGGGGGAGAAAAGCGUAAAACUUUGAUCUAUCCCCGGAGGAAGCACGGGCUAAGUUCGUGCCAGCAGCCGCGGUAAAA
rnacentral:rRNA from 1 species